UACGAGAGUCGCACGUGUGGCGUAGCUCUACGCGUCGUAGAGGUUCCGAGCGUACACAUUUAAUUCAAUAUGAAGUUUAUCAUUCCAGUAUACGAAAUGUUUUUGUGAAGUUUUGGCGUGCUUUAGUGAAAAAAGUAGGAUUCCAUAGACUUGAAAGUGUUUAAUUUUAUGGUAAAGCGACAGCAAGGAAU